CUAAUACUCUCUUCGUUCGAAAAUACUUGUCAUCAAAAUAGAUAAAAAGAGAUGUAUUUAGAACUAAAAUACAUCUAGAUACAUCCCCUUUCAUCCAUUUUGAUGACAAGUAUUUUCGGACGGAGGGAGUAUAAG
rnacentral:pre_miRNA from 1 species